AUUGAACGCUGGCGGCAUGCUUUACACAUGCAAGUCGAACGGAAGCGCGGGCUUCGGCCUGGCGGCGAGUGGCGAACGGGCGAGUAAUGAAUCGGAACGUGACCAGUAGUGGGGGAUAGCCCGGCGACAGCAGGAUUAAUACCGCAUACGACAUGAGGGUGAAAGCGGGGGACCGAAAGGCCUCGCGCGAUUGGAGCGGACGAUGUCGGAUUAGCUAGUUGGUGGGGUAAAGGCUUACCAAGGCGACGAUCCGUAGCUGGUCUGAGAGGACGACCAGGCACACUGGGACCGAGACACGGCCCAGACUCCUACGGGAGGCAGCAGUGGGGAAUUUUGGACAAUGGGGGCAACCCUGAUCCAGCCAUGCCGCGGGCGGUAAGAAGGCCUUCGGGUUGGAAACCGCUUUUUUUCGGGAAGAAAUCCUCUUGGCUAAUACCCCGGGGGGAUGACGGUACCGGAAGAAUAAGCACCGGCUAACUACGUG
rnacentral:rRNA from 1 species